CUACAGUUCAGGUGCUUUCCAUGUUUGCGAUGCUUUGGGUGGUUAUGCUUCUGAUUCCCACUUCAGAUAGUAGCAUUUUCUGUUUUGUCUAAUGAGUCAGGUCUCGUUAUUUGUCUUUUACUGACUUUGAUUAAUUUCAUUUCAUUUAGGGAACAAUUGGCCUGCAAGAUGGUGACCCAUUGUGUCCCAAUGCCUGUCCACCUGGCCGCCCAGGACAUGCUGGCUUAAUGGGAAUGAAGGGACAGAAAGGUUCAAAAGGAGAGUCUGGUGAACCAGGAAAACAAGGUUAUAAGGUAAAAAAAAAACUUCAGAGGAAAAAUUGCUGUUGUUUUUAGCAAGCUAAUAGUAGUUUAGCCUCUUCUUCAAAAACAGUGUUAUAUUUUGUUAGAACUAUUAAUUGUUUUACCAGAAUACAUG
rnacentral:lncRNA from 1 species